rnacentral:miRNA from 1 species
UCUGAACCCCUCUGUCUCUUCU